rnacentral:tRNA from 1 species
UCCGCAUAGCUCAGUUGGUAGAGCGCAUGACUGUUAAUCAUGAUGUCGUAGGUUCGAGAGUCCUACUGGCGGAG